rnacentral:lncRNA from 1 species
GUACAGAGACAGAGAGAGAGUAUUAGGGUCCAUACUAGGUACAGAGACAGAGAGAGAGAGAGUAUUAGGGUCCAUACUAGGUACAGAGACAGAAGACAGAGAGUGAGUAUUAGGGUCCAUACUAGUCAUACAGUAAGCAUUAGCUGUUUGAUAUUUCCAUUAGAGAAGGAAAUUAGGCUAAAUCUCGACCUUGAGCACAACGAGACUUCUUUGAAGUGUGCUUCUUUGUCUCUCUGGGUGAAUAUUAGCACACCACAUGUAUAAUUCCUCCAAUAACCCCUGAGAAAAUGUGUCACCUCAUUUCACUCUGAAUUUGAAAUACAUUAUGCUCUCUU